rnacentral:tRNA from 1 species
GGGUAUAUAGCUCAGUGGUAGAGUGUGAGCUUGGCAUGCAUGAAGUCCUGGGUUUAAUCCCUAAUACGUCCA